CCUACGGGUGACAGCAGUGAGGAAUAUUGGUCAAUGGGCUUACGCCUGAACCAGCCAAGUCGCGUGAGGGAAGACUGCCCUAUGGGUUGUAAACCUCUUUUGUCAGGGAGCAACGCCGGCUACGUGUAGCCGGACUGAGAGUACCUGAAGAAAAAGCAUCGGCUAACUCCGUGCCAGCAGCCGCGGUAAUAUGGAGGAUGCGAGCGUUAUCCGGAUUGAUUGGGUUUAAAGGGUGCGUAGGCGGAAUGCCAAGUCAGCGGUAAAAUCGCGGGGCUCAACCUCGCUCCGCCGUUGAAACUGGCGUUCUUGAGUGGGCGAGAAGUAUGCGGAAUGCGUGGUGUAGCGGUGAAAUGCAUAGAUAUCACGCAGAACUCCGAUUGCGAAGGCAGCAUACCGGCGCCCAACUGACGCUGAAGCACGAAAGCGUGGGUAUCGAACAGGAUUAGAUACCCGAGUAGUC
rnacentral:rRNA from 1 species